rnacentral:lncRNA from 1 species
AUGGCAUUCUUAAAUUUCAGGUUUCGAAUACCCUUUACUGUCCAAAAUAACAGGACAGAGGAUGUCAGCAAGCUCCAGAAUGAAUGGGUGUCUCUCAUAGAAAGGUACUGUCAGCUGUGCAAGGGUACCUCUCUCUCUCAGGAGGGAUCUGAAGGAGACACCUCCUCUGAAGCUGAUUACGAGAAUGUUACCGUAGCUCUGAAUGAAGAGAAAGAGGAGGCACUCUAUUUCGGUUUGAGUUCUGCAACAAGUGAUUUGAACAAACCUUUAAACUCCUGGACAAAGCCUGCAGAAGGGGAAGCAGCCCUGGCAUCACCAUCUCCAAUUCCCAUAAGUAAGGCAGAGGUGCCACCAGCCCCACCUGUGUUCCCACAGCCCUGCAGCCUUUCUCCCUUGACAAAGAGAACUAAAGCCUUUCACUGGGAUGUUGUUCCUUGUGAUAAGAUUCAAAAAUCCAUCUGGGGAUCAUGUGAUCCAUGCAAGAAAAAAAUAGACAUUUCCAGACUCUGUGAUCAGUUCCAGAUCCAGGACUUGGCUGCAUUUUCAGGCAGUGAACCUCCAGUCAAACAGCACAUCCUGUUAGAUCAAAAAGUUGCACAUAACUUCAACAUUUUUCUUAAAAGUUUUCAUAUAAAACCAAGUGAGUUGAAAGAAAAACUAUACAUUAUACAUGAAGAGAGUGGUGGACUUACAGAUGAGCAGAUUACAGCACUACGAAGGUAAUCUUUGGGGUUCAAUUGUUUAUUUAUAAGAUUCUAUGUUUUGGAGAGGGCAUAAUUUCAUUCAAAUAAUGGGUAGUUCAGGAAAAAUGCUACUGAGACAUUGAAACUAUCCUGACCAUAGAUAAAAUGUUAGAGUUGCACACAGAAAUCUCUGUUCUUGCAACAGACAUUGUAGAAUGUUCUUCCAAAAUAUAACUCUUCCCCAUGUUGUGUAGGAAGGGAACUGCAGGACACGACAGCAAAUCUGACAGGACUUUGUCAAACUGGUUACAAGGAGCAGAGUUAGUAAAAGAAUGAGUGAGCUCACCUGCAGUGAGCAGGUGUAGCAGUCAGAAAACUUCACAGCAUCUCUUACUACAGCCUUAUUGUCUAUUGUGGGCUCAGAAAUGAAAGAAAAAAAAUGAAUUCUGUUCCCUGUUUAAAAACUGAUUUGGACGUAGGAAGCCAGACAAGUGUUAAAGGAGAAUAUCAGUAUUUCUGAGUGGCAGAGAUCUGUGGGUUUAAAACAGAACAAAAAUUUUGAUAUCUUAAAAAACAAAGUAAAAACCCACAAAAACAAACAAACAAACAAACGAACAAAAACAAACAAACAAAAAAAACAAAACAACUAUACUGAGAGUAGUACAUUUCAGGAGUGUAAGCAAACUAUAGGCAUGUGAAAUUUGUAGAAAUUGGGUCUUCUCUCUGACUAGUUAAAAACACAGGAAAAAAGUGGGCCCUAGAGUGGUGUUCAUUACACAUCCAAGUUCUCAUGCAAAGCAUGUGGUACCAGUGCCAUUUUAUUAUACACAUUGUUAUGAAAAUUUGAAGUGAGACUGCUUCUUGCUUCAAAAUGAGAAAAUUGAGUGUUUUGUUAAAAGUGAGCUUAGAAAAUCAUGAUGCUAGCAAAAAAAAAAAAAGUGAGGAAGUAGGUAACUUUUUUUUUUUUUUUUCUAUCAGUGUGCCUACUUUUUGUGCAGUGAUUUUAAUUCUGGCCUUAAAAUCCUGGUCCUAAUUGCUAAAGUAAAGUUUGCGGAAUAAUGUCUGCACUUAGAAAAUGAUGAGAACAGGAAGGACAGAUGUGAAAUGCAUGGAAUUAAUGUCAUUUGUUGAGAUGGCUUGUAGAGAGCUUACCUGAAGUAUGAAGGGACAUGGACAAGGCACUGAGUAAUUAAAUAUUUAAAAUAUGCCAGUGUUCUGGAGGAGGUUUCCAUGCUUCCUACAUGCUUUACCAUUUGUACCCCACAUUUGUGCACAGCAGACUGUGAACUAGUGAAACGUGUAUAGCUCUACUAUAAUAGAGCUCCAUUUUCUUUCAAAAGCUGGCUGUUUUUCAUAUAAAUAAACAAGUAUAUUUAUAUAUUAAAUAUAACUGC